rfam:Triticum aestivum genome assembly, contig: Triticum_aestivum_CS42_TGACv1_scaffold_513372_6BS
UGUUUGCUGUGACGAAUCACAAGAACGGUAUCUGAGUAAGGGUGGCUCUUGAAAGUCCCCCUUCGUUGAUUACCCAUCCUAAACUGAUCAUAUCUUCUGAGCGAACA